rnacentral:rRNA from 1 species
AUUGUAGUCUGCAACCCGACUACAUGAAGCUGGAAUCGCUAGUAAUCGCGAAUCAGAAUGUCGCGGUGAAUACGUUCUCGGGUCUUGUACACACCGCCCGUCACACCAUGGGAGUCGGAAAUGCCCGAAGUCAGUGACCCAACCGUAAGGAGGGAGCUGCCGAAGGUGGAGCCGGUAACUGGGGUGAAGUCGUAACAAGGUAUC